AGGGCCACACUCACGGCAUGUGGAGGUUUCCAGGCUAGGAGUCAAAUUGGAGCUGCAGCUGCCAGCCUACACCACAGCCACAGCAACAGAUCUGGCAUUGCUGUAGCUAUGGUAUAGGCUGAUGGCUAUAGCUCUGAUUAGACCCCUAGCCUGGGAACCUCCAUAUGCCGAAAGUGCAGCUCUAAAAAAGACAAAAGAAAAGAAAAGAAAAAUAUAGUUGAUUUACAGUGUUGUAUCAAUUUCUGCUGUACAGCAUAAUGACCCAAUCACACAUAUACAUACAUUUUUUUGUUGUUUGCUUUUUAGGGCUGCUCAGCAUAUGGAAGUUCCCAGACUAGAGGUCAAACCGGAGCUGUAGCUGCCAGCCUACACCCAGCCACAGCAACACAGGAUCUGAGCUGCGUCUGUGACCUACACCACAGCUCACGGUAAUGCCAGAUCCUUAACCCACUGAGCGAGGCCAGGGAUCGAACCUCCAUCCUCAUGGAUACUUGUUGGAUUCGUUUCCACUUCGCCUUGAAGGGAACUUCUGUUGUUGUUGUUGUUUUUCUUUUUUGGCCGCCCCUCGGCAUGGCAUAUGAAGUUCCCAGACCAAGGAUCAGAUCAGGGCCAAAGUUGCAGUCUACUUGGGCAAAGCCAGAUCCUUAGCCAGGCUGGGGAUACUUCUGCCCCAGCACUGGGGAGACACCACCUUCACGUUGCAGCACAGUGGGAACUCCAUGUACUCUUUUUCUCAUACCGCUUUCCAUUAUGUCCUAUUUCGAAAGAUGGGACACAACUGUCCCUGUGCUGUACAGGGGCCACUCAUUGUCUACCAGCCACUCUUUAUUGAGGGCUCACUAUAUGCCAGGCCCUGGGUUACACACUUUUCAUAUACUUAUUGAAUGUCUUAACAACCCCUUGUGACUGAGGUAUUUGUCUCACUUUGCCAAGAAGAGGAAUCCCCGACUUAGGAGAAAGGAGCUGCCUAAGAUCACAUAACCAACAAAAAGCAGAGUGGAGAUUUGAACCCCAGUCUUCAAAACUCCAGAGUUGCCUCCUAAGCCCUGUCUUAUAGGCCCACUACCAAGGGAUGUUACAACCCCAGGAAAAUGCUUCCCAGCGAUCCCUAAUGCCUUUCCUAUCUUUUUGUCAUAGGAAUCCUCACAGGAAGAAAAACCGGGGGGAGUUCCAGUUGUGGUUCAGUGGAAGCAAAUCUGACUAGCAUCCAUGAGGACGCAGGUUCGAUCCCUGGCCUCGCUCAGUGGGUUGGGGAUCUGGCGUUGCCAUGAUCUGUGGUGUAGGUUGAAGACACGGCUCAGAUCCCGAGCUGCUGUGGCUGGGGCUGGGGCCGGCUGGGGCCAGCAGUUGUAGCUCUGAUUUGACUCCUAGUCUGGGAACUCAUAUAUGCCUCGGGUGCAGCCCUAAAAAUUUUUUUUAAAA
rnacentral:lncRNA from 1 species